rnacentral:tRNA from 4 species
GGAGAGGUGGCUGAGUGGCUGAAAGCGACGGUUUGCUAAACCGUUGUAGAGACAAAAUCUCUACCCCGGGUUCGAAUCCCGGCCUCUCCGCCA